rnacentral:rRNA from 1 species
GAUGAACGCUGGCGGCGUGCUUAACACAUGCAAGUCGAGCGAAGCGCUUUACUUUGAUUUCUUCGGAUUGAGAAGUGCUGCGACUGAGCGGCGGACGGGUGAGUAACGCGUGGGCAACCUGCCUCAUACAGGGGGAUAACAGUUAGAAAUGACUGCUAAUACCGCAUAAGACCACAGUACCGCAUGGUAUGGUGGUAAAACUCCGGUGGUAUGAGAUGGGCCCCGCGUCUGAUUAGGUAGUUGGUGGGUAACGGCCUACCAAGCCGACGAUCAGUAGCCGACCUGAGAGGGUGACCGGCCACAUUGGGACUGAGACACGGCCCAAACUCCUACGGGAGGCAGCAGUGAGGAAUAUUGGGUCAAGUGGGCGAGAGCCUGAACCAGCCAAGUAGCGUGAA